rnacentral:rRNA from 1 species
AUUGAACGCUGGCGGCAGGCUUAACACAUGCAAGUCGAGCGGGGUGAUGGUGCUUGCACUAUCACUUAGCGGCGGACGGGUGAGUAAUGCUUAGGAAUCUGCCUAUUAGUGGGGGACAACAUCUCGAAAGGGAUGCUAAUACCGCAUACGUCCUACGGGAGAAAGCAGGGGAUCACUUGUGACCUUGCGCUAAUAGAUGAGCCUAAGUCGGAUUAGCUAGUUGGUGGGGUAAAGGCCUACCAAGGCGACGAUCUGUAGCGGGUCUGAGAGGAUGAUCCGCCACACUGGGACGGAGACACGGCCCAGACUCCUGCGGGAGGCAGCAGUGGGGAAUAUUGGACAAUGGGGGGGACCCUGAUCCAGCCAUGCCGCGUGUGUGAAGAAGGCCUUAUGGUUGUAAAGCACUUUAAGCGAGGAGGAGGCUCUUUUGGUUAAUACCCAAGAUGAGUGGACGUUACUCGCAGAAUAAGCACCGGCUAACUCUGUGCCAGCCGCCGCGGUAA